GUACUUACUUAAACAGUACAUAUAAUAAAUUGGAUCUGAUACAGAGAAGAUUAGCAUGGCCCCUGCGAAGGAUGACCAUAGGUCGUGGAGAGCGUUUCCAUAUUUUA